AGUGAACGCUGGCGGUAGGCCUAACACAUGCAAGUCGAACGGCAGCACAGUAAGAGCUUGCUCUUACGGGUGGCGAGUGGCGGACGGGUGAGGAAUACAUCGGAAUCUACUUUUUCGUGGGGGAUAACGUAGGGAAACUUACGCUAAUACCGCAUACGACCUACGGGUGAAAGCAGGGGAUCUUCGGACCUUGCGCGAUUGAAUGAGCCGAUGUCGGAUUAGCUAGUUGGCGGGGUAAAGGCCCACCAAGGCGACGAUCCGUAGCUGGUCUGAGAGGAUGAUCAGCCACGCUGGAACUGAGGCACGGUCCAGACUCCUACGGGAGGCAGCAGUGGGGAAUAUUGGACAAUGGGCGCAAGCCUGAUCCAGCCAUACCGCGUGGGUGAAGAAGGCCUUCGGGUUGUAAAGCCCUUUUGUUGGGAAAGAAAAGCAGCAGGUUAAUACCCCGCUGUUCUGACGGUACCCAAAGAAUAAGCACCGGCUAACUUCGUG
rnacentral:rRNA from 1 species